rnacentral:lncRNA from 1 species
UUUUUUUUUUUUUUUUUUUUUGGUUUUGGUUUUUUGGUUUUUCGAGACAGGGUUUCUCUGUAUAGCCCUGGCUGUCCUGGAACUCACUUUGUAGACCAGGCUGGCCUCGAACUCAGAAAUCUGUCUGCCUCUGCCUCUGCCUCUGCCUCCCAAGUGCUGGGAUUAAAGGCGUGCGCCACCACGCCCGGCUUCAAACCAGUUUUAUGCAGGUGGUUUUAUGCACCUCAGACACCUGGAAUUCCUCUCUAGCACCACUGAACUAUUUAUAGAAAAAUAGACAAGACCACGCUGUCUGUUAUUCUAAUAGAGUUUUGAAGCUCUCUAGAAAGUGUGGAACACUCCGUUCUAUGUGUGUUGACUUUAAGCAGUGGUUUUCAAUCUGUGGGUGAUGACCCCUCAGCAAACUUCUGUCUCCAAAAAUGUUUACGAUUUGAAAGAGUAAACAAGUACAGUUAUGUAGGAACAACAAAAAUACUUUUAUGGUUGAGGCUCACCACAGCAUAAGGAGCUGUCUUAAAGUGUCACGGUAUUAGGAAGAUUGAAAGCCACUGGGCUAAAGUGAUACUCUUGUCAGUAGAUUCAGGCUGCAGUUUCUUUGCUUCUCUCCUUCAAAUCUUCCUUCCUUCUUUUCUUUUUUUCUUUUGUUUUCUUUUCUCUUUCUUUUUUUUUUUUUUUUUGUUGGGUUGUUGUUAUUGUUGUUGUUUAAGACAGAGUUCCUCUGUACAGCCUUGUCUGUCCUGGAACUUACUCUUUAGACCAGGCUGUCCUAGACCCAUAGAGAUCUGCCUGCCUCUGCCUCCCAAAUUCAGGAAUUAAGGGCGUGGACCAUCACCACCCUGCAUCCUUGAUAACUUUUCAGGAAUGAAACAUCUCUGAAAUUUGUGAAAUUGCUAAUUGUCUUUCUUGGAUUAUGUGUAUUUUUAAAAAAAGUAUAUUAUCUCAUAUGUGACUCUUGCUGAUUUUUAUAUGUACUUCAUAGUUGCCAAAAUCUCAUAAAGUGAUUUUUCUGUUUGUUUGUUUUUCAAGACAUAGUUUCUCUGUGUAAUAACCCUGGAUGUCCUGAACUUGCUUUGUAGACCCAGAGAUUUCCCUGCCUCUGCCUCCUGAGUGCUAGGAUUAAAGGCCACUAUAUUUGGCCUCAUAAAACAAUCUCAUUUAUGAUGAAUGUUUGGAGAACUGGUGAUUUGGAUUGUUGUUAUUCCCUUCUAUGAGAAAACCAAGACUCUUUGACAGACUUACUUAUUUACAUUAUAUAUUUAUUUUGAGAGAGUCUUACUUUGCAGCUUUGGUUUGGAAUUCACUGUAGAAGCCUAGAAUGCAAAGAGAUCUGCCUUCCUCUACCUCCUGAGUGCUGGGAUUUAAGGUGUGUUCUACCAUGCCUGGUAGUUAAGACUCUUUGACAUUAUGUUCAUCCAUAGAUUCUGCUUCUCAAGUUCUGCCUCUUUGCUAUAAAAAAAUGUGGAGCUGGGGUAUGGAUCCUAGAGCAUUAACAUCCCAACUGAGUUUAUUAGAGUAUAAUCCUAUAAGGCCCAGCUGUAGAGAAGAUUGAUCCAGUGUCAGUAUUUUACUGGGUCUACUAUUUUGAUAUUUAGAGGCACAAUUUUGCUCAUCAAAAAUUGUAUGUCUGAAAUGCAUACAAUAUGAUUCUAUGUGAAAUUAACACUGUCUUCAUAGAAGGUAUAUUUCUCAGUCCAGACCUUAAAUUUAUGUCUUAUAUGCCCUAAAAGAAUAUUGUUUCUGAAAAUAUGAUAUCAUCCUGUUUUCCCAGAGUUGGAAAAUGUGUUUUUGAGUAUCAUGAUUCCAGAAAACAUUUUACUGAAUAACUGUGCUUCUUCAUUUUACUGAAUAACUGUGCUUCUUCAUUCAGG